AGCUCAAGUCCUAAGAAGCAGAGGCCAGAUGCAGGAGCCAGCUGCAGGAUUCAGAACGAGCCAAAGCCCCAGAGCCCUGCCUGAAUAUCCACCCACACUUGAUGCAGGCCACAUGCCCAGGGAAACUCCCUUUCAACUGAUUGGCUACUCACAGUAGAUCCCAUCAUGGGGGUGAUUACAUAUCAAAUCUCAAUAGGGAAGUGAUCACAUUAUAUGACUGCCAAAACACUGAGAAUCAUGUCCCAGCCAAGUUAACACACAAUCUUAACCAUCGCAGUCCACCCCAUAGAACAGGGACUCAGUGUUGGUCUUUGCUGCAGUGGCUGUAGCCAAGUUGGCCUUGGUGAGUGGAAGUCCAUGUUGCUGGGCCCAUGCAUAACUUCCACACCAUGGAUUAGCAGUGCCCUCUUUACUACAGGAAGCAGAGUCAUCAACAUCUUUAAGACUAAACAGACUUGAAAACCAAUUUGGAAAAUUUAUCCUUAUAAUUUUGUUUCUCUAGAACCACUCAGUACCAGAUGCCUUAGGCUGGGUUCUCUAGAGAUACAAAACCAAUAAAAUGUAUAAAUAUAUAGAGAGAGAGAGAGAGGAGAGAGAUUUAUGUAAAGGAAAUGGCUCACAUGGUUGUAGAGGCUGUAACGUCAGAAGCCCGUGGGUCAGGAAAGAGACUUCUCAUGAUUCACAUAGCUGCCGGGGCUGGCAAAUCCAAGAUUGGUAGGCGGGAGAGCAGGGCUGUUGCUCACAGGCUGUGAAGAACGAAUGCAAAGAUUGGCAGGCAAGACAGCAGGUAAGCUGCUAGCUCAAGUCCUAAGAAGCAGAGGUCGGAUGAACAGGAGCCAGCUGCAGGAGCCGGAAUGAGCAAAAACCCCAGAACCCUACCUGAACAUCCACCCCUAAUGGAUGCAGGCCACACACCUAAGGAAACUUCCUUUCAAAUGAUUGGCUACUCACAGCAGAUCCCAUCAUGGGGGUGAUUACAUAUCAAAUCUCAACAGGGAAGUGAUCACAACAUUAUAUGACUGCCAAAACACGAGCAUCAUAGCCCAGGCAAGCUGACACACAGUCUUAACCAUCAUACUCCCUAAGCUCUUUUUGCCUUUUCCCUUGGGUACAUGACUGUGUAGCAAAAGACUGGUUUUCCCAUUCUUCUUUGCAGUUAGAUGUGACCAAGUUCUCAGUGAUGGAAUGUGAAAGGAGGUGGGGGUGCCAUCUCAGGGACUAUAACUUUAGGCAUUGGGCUGUUUCAUCUGCAUCCUUUUUCUUUCCCACUGGCUGAACCUAGACAUGGUGGUAACCCAGGUUCAGCCAUAUGGAUGAUAAGAAUGCCCUAGGGGUGAGGAAGAAACAUGGAAGCUGUCUUAGGUUAUCUAGUGCUGCUAUAACAGAAAUACCACAAGUAGAUGUCUUUAACAAAGAGAAAAUUAUUCUCUCUCAGUCUGGUAGGCAUGAAGUCCAAAUUCAGGGUGUCAGUUCCAGGGGAGGGCUUUCUCUCUCCGUUGGCUCUAAGGAAGGGCCCUUGUUAUCAAUCUUCCCCAGUCGAGGAGCUUCUCAGUACAGGGACUCUGGGUCCAAACGAAGCUUUAUUCUCCUGGCUCUUGUUUCUUGGUGGUAUGAGAUUUCAUUUCUCUCUGCUUGGUUCUCUCUCUCAUAUCUCAAAAGAAAUUGACUUUAGACACAACUCAAUCUUAUAGAUUGGGUCUUGCUUCAUUAACAUCAUAGAGGCAGGAUUUACAACACAUAGGAAAAUCAUAUCCGAUGACAAAAUAGUGGACAAUCACACAAUACUGGAAAUCAUGGCCUAGCCAAGCUGACACACAUUUUUGGGGAACAUAAUUCAAUGCAUAACAUAAGCAUCCUGAGUAUCUGUAAUCCGUGUAAAGCAGGACUAUUCCACAGACCUGAAACGCUCAGUGCAGAAGAGAGAGCAAUAAACUAUGUUUGUAAAGUCACUAUAUUUUGGGAUUGCUUUGUUUCAGCAGUUUAACAUUACUCCAGUGAAUACAUUCAGAUACAUCUGUGUUAAACAGAAUUACAAAAAUACGUUUUAAAGCCAAAAUAGAAAUAAUUUACAGCUAAUUUCUAUCACUGUUCCCCUCCAUUAUCAUCGAUGAUUGAAAGCCAAUUGGAGCCCAACAGGGAAGAUGAAGUCCUGCAAGUGGGCAACUAUGUGUUGCAAAAUGCAUGGCAUCUAAACUAAUACUUGUCAAAUAUGAGUUACAACAUAUUUUCUUGUAACUUUAUAGUGUAAUAUCUGUCUGUGCUUUUAUUUCUAGUGAAAAUAAAUAAUUUACUUAAGCUAUCUCUCCCAAAAAAAGGAUUCUGUUAAAUAGAAAACUUAGCUUGAUUUACUCAGCUAUUUUCAGUGAUGGGAUUUUUUUCUCUGGCAAGUUGAGAUGAUGCCCCACAAUGUUCUUCUGUCCUGAACAGGGACUGUUCUCGUUUGCCAUCCUAGUAACUCAGGAAUCAAGAGGAGCAGAACCAGUCAUUUUUUCCACAAUUUUAUUUCAUCUCACUCUUCAUAUGUCUUUGGUCCCCACCAGUUCACCUGGCCUUUUCUAAGACUGAUUUCAGAUGGCAAAGGGCAAGCAUGGAGGGGUCAACAUGGAUAUUCAUCAAUUAAUUUGACAGGGCCUUCUAGAUGUAAUACACACAAAUAGAGACCAAGCAGUGUAAUGAUGACUAUAAGCAUCUCUCCAGACUGAAGACCUUUGAGGUGAUAUCUCAUCCAUCUCCUGCCACAGGCUCUCUGCUUCCUAUGACACCCAGUGUCUGUCUGACUAUAAACAUGUUCGUUAUAUUGAAUAGGCUCAACCAAUGAUGUGCGGUAGAUAAUUGAUUUAUGCAAGCAAUGGUAGUAUUUUAACAACUGAUUGUAUGUGUAUCAAUCUGGGUAGAAAAAGCAUUGCCCAGAUUCCAUGCCACUGGCACUGAUGGUCAGGCAUAGGAUACAUCCUCUGUUAAGUUGAAGUGUGCCCCCCAAAGAUAUAUUGAAAUCCUAACCUCUCCCCCCAAUACUUGUGACUAUUAUCUAGUUUGGAAAUGGGGUCUUUGAAAUUGUUAUUAGUGAGUUAACAUGAGGUCAUACUUGAGUAGGGUGAGCCUUAAUGCAUUAUGACUGGUGUCCUUAUAAGAAGAGGAGACACAGAGAGGUACAGAGGGAAGACCCUCAUGCAAAGACAGAGGCAGAGUUUGGAGUGACUCAUCUACAAGCUAAGGAAUGCCAAAGAUUGCCAGGAACUGCUAGAAAUUAGAAAGAGCAAGGAAAGAUCUUCCCCUAGAGUCUUCAGAGAGAGCAUUGCCUUGUUGAUACUUUGACUUUGGGCUUCUAGCCUCAAGAACUGUGGGACAAUAAAUUUCUGUUCUUUUAAGCCACUUUGUUACAGCAACACUGUUGCUAUUGUUGUGUGCCCCCAUGUCCAUUCUGACUCGUAACAACCCUAUAGGACAGACUAGAACUGCCUCAUAGGGUUUCCUAGGCUGUAAUAUCACUAAUAUCACAUGCCAAGUAAAAUUUUGCUGAAGAUCAUUCAAAAGUGGCUGCAGUAGUACAUCAACAGGGAACUUCCAGAAAUUCUAGCUGGAUUUAGAAGAGGAUGUGGAACAAGGGAUAUCAUUGCUGAUGUCAAAUGGAUCCUGGCUGAAAGCAGAGAGUACCAGAAAUAUGUUUACCUGUGUUUCAUUGACUACACGAAGGCAUUCGACUGUGUAGAUCAUAGCUAAUUACGGAUAACAUCAUGAAGAACAGGAAUUUCAGAACACUUAAUUGUGCUCAUGAGGACCGGCUACAUAGAUUGAGAGGCAGUCGUUGAAACAGAACAAGAGGAUACUGACUGGUUUAGUCAGAAAAGGUGUGAAUCGGGGUCGUAUCCUUUCACCAUACUUAUUCAAUCUGUAUGCUGAGCAAAUAAUCCGAGAAGCUGGACUAUAUGAAGAAGAAUGGGGCAUCAGGAUUGGAGGAAGACUCAUGAAAAACCUGCCUUAUGCGGAUGACACAACCUUGCUUGCUGGAAGUGAAGAGGACUUAAAGCACUUACUGAUGAAGAUCAAAGACCACAGCCUUCAGUAUGGGUUAUACCUCAACAUAGAGAAAACAAAACUCCUCACAACUAGACCAAUAAACAACAUCAUGAUAAAUGGAGAAAAGAUUGAAGUUGUCCAGAAUUUCAUUCUAAUUGGAUCCACAAUCAACACCUGUGAAAGCAGCAAUCAAGAAAUCAAAUCCAUCGUAUUGGGUAAAUCUGCUGCAAAAGAACUCUUUAAAGUGUUAAAAUCGAAGAUGUCACCUUGAAGACUAGGGUGCAUUUGACCCAAGCCAUGGUGUUUUCAAUCGCCUCAAAAGCACGCAAAACCUGGAAAAUGAAUAAGGAAAAGCAAUAAUUGAUGCUUUUGAAUUAAGGUGUUGGCUAAGAAUAUUGACUAUACCAUGGACUGCCAAAAAAAUGAACAAAUGUAUACAACCAGAAUGCUCCUCAGAAGCAAGGAUGGCAAGACUACAUCUCACAUACUUUGGACUUGUUAUCAGGAGGGACCAGUUCCUGGAGAAGAACAUAAUGCUUGGUGAAGUAGAGGGUCAGUGAAAAAGAGGAUGACCGUAAUGAGAUGGAUUGACAUGGUGGCUGGAACAAUGGACUCAAGCAUAAUAGUGAUUGUGAGGAUGUUGCAGGACCAGGCAGUGUAUCGUUCUGUUGUAUUUUGGGUUGCUAUGAGUUGGAACUGACUCGACUGCACCUAACAACAGCAAUGUUACAGGAGAAGAUAGCCAAGUCUUUUCUCCUGAGGAGCAGCUGAUUGGUUUGAGCCAUUUACCUUUUGGUUAGCAGCUAAGCACUUAAUCAUUGCCCUCACCAGGUCUCCUAGGAAACUAAUGUACCCUCUUUUCUAAUCCCCACCCUCAAAUCUAUUUUCCAUUUUUCAUCUCAAUGCUUAGUCAUUAGUAGUGUGAACUGAUCGUUUAUUUCCACCGAUCUUCAGCAAAGGUAUUGAUUAGGGUAUUUACCCUCCAGGUCUGGAAUGCUUUGAUGACCAUGGGAUAUAACGAGUUGUUUUGUUUUCAGUAUCGGAACCAGGAGGUUAGGGAAUUCAUUUCUUCUGAAUUUUCCUAAAACUUUUCAACCUGUUUUCGUCAAGUACAUUCUAAGUCUCUGCAAUCCCUCCAUGCUCUAUCAAAGACAGAUCUUUUGCUAGAUCCUCAACCCGUUUCAGUUCUACAUUGAAAAUUAUGAAAAAAUACUGUUAGUCACUAAUUUGAUAAAGUCCAAAGAAAGAGAUAUUUACUUAAGGUAAAACUGAAAGAAGUCUCUCCAGAGCAAUAAGAACAUAUCAAAUAAAUAAAUUCUAUUCAACUUUGGGGGUGAAUGUUGUGACAAAAUAUUAUUUUGAAGUUCAAAAAAGACUAGUUCUAGCUAACUUGUGACCAGAGUUGUGCAUACAAUGACUUUGCUGGUCCUGUACAGGGACACAACAGGGUGGUAGAAUGGACGGGAGAGACAGAAGCUCUAAAUCUGAACUUCUGCUCUGCAGCCUUCCUAUUGGGUGAUCUGGAGCAUUUUCUUAAAGCCUUUUUACCCUCAUCUUCCUUCUCUGUGAGACAAGGACAAUGAUUCCUACAAUGCAAGGUUGCCACGAGGUAUAAUGGAAUCCCCUUAGUUGGGUGCUCUGGAAGGGGACUGGCAAUAAGUAUGAGAUCAAUGUGUACUGGUUCCCACCUUCCACCAGAUUAAUUAAUGAUUCUUUUAUUUGUUUACCCAUUUGUUGAGAUUGGUUAUCUUUGAUUUCAUUUCAUCACUGGAAACACUGAGUACUAGAUGUUUCCAUUUCUUCUGCAUUAUAGAGCAAAUCAUAAUGAAAAGCUAAGGCUCAAAUUCAUUACUCAGCUUUCCUUCGUUUCUGCCAUCAUUGUUGUUAGGUGCCCUUGAGUCAGUUCCAACUCAUAAUGACCCUAUGUACAACAGAACAAAACAUUGGCCUGUCCUGUGCCAUCUUCACAGUUGUUGCUAUAUUUGAGCCCAUUGCUUCAGCUACUGUGUCAAUCCAUCUCAUCGAGAGUCUUCCUCUUAUUUAUUGACCCUCUACUUAACCGAGCCUGUUGUCCUUCUUCCAGAGGCUAGAGUUCCUGGUCUCUAACCUAGACUAUUCAGCCAGCUGUGGCUGCUCAUUGGAGGCUGCAGGUCAUCUAAGAAUACUUAUAGUUUACACUCAUAAAACCUUUUUGAUAAAAAUUUUUCACUGACAUGAACUCUUUCUUCUACUCAAACAACUUUACUCGCUAUCUCCCACAAGACAUUGAACUUUCAUACUCUUGUGGCCUUUGUUCACAGAACUUGUUUAUCUAGAAUGGCUUCCUUCUCUCUCUGCUUACAUAAUCUUAUCACACUACCUUUCCUUUUGCAGCUCACAUCUUGCUUUCUUUAUGACGUUUUCCCUAAUUUGCACCUGGAUUGACUUCAAGUUCUGGUGAGCUCCCAAAAAGCUUGUUAUCUUUAUUACUUAUUUGACAUUUAACAUUUUCCAUCUUCUGUGAAGCUACUGGAGUGUGGCAGAACAAUCCUGGUCUAGGUGUCAGCAGCCCUGAGUGUUGGGCUGACAGCAGGAUUAUCUCUCGCUGUAACCUGGGCUUCCUUGCCUGUAAAACUGAGGCAAUAAUACAUACACAAGUGGUUUGCUUUGAGAACCCAAAGAAAUGUUAAAACACUUAUAAUCAAUAAAAUCUUGUACAAGGAAAGGGAUUAUUACUAUUAUAAGCACAUGUUUUACUGUAUUCAUUUUUGUUUCUUCCAAAAUACCCAGCACAGUGCCUUGAAUAUAAUAUCAAUAAAAUGAAUGAAUGAACCAAGUAGGAAUCUGAAGACCUGGAGACAGUUGUGCCAGCUGCACACUUUGGCCUCGCAUCUGAAUUCUGUUCACUCUUUUGUAAAAUGAGGAUUAGUCUAGAGUCUAGACCAGUGAGUAUUAACCCUGGUUGUAUAUUGAGAAUACCUGGGGGAACUUUGAAAAAAUGCACGUGCCCAGGUCCCCCUUCAAAUCAAUUCAGGUUCUCCGAGUUUUGAAACAACUACAACUUACAUAGAAGUUGGAAAUAGAGGACAAAAAUGUUUUCUUUCCCUGAACCCCUAAAGGUUGUUGUUUGCCGUCCGGUUAAUUCAGACUCAUAGCAACGCUAUACACUGCGGUGCAAAUUUCUAUAAACAAGUACAUCCUCCUACAUAACAGCAGCAUAGUCAUCAAGAUCUGAUGGAUAACGUGGCUACAUUAUAUCUAUCUAAUCCUCAGAUACCGUUACAUUUCACCCAUUGCCUGCAAAAACGUCUUUGUAAUUGGAACCUGUUCAGAGUCACACAUUACCAUGUCUUCUUAGUCUCCUUUAGACUGAUGCCGCCAUUCCUCAGUAUUUCCUCAGUUUUCAUGACCUUGACACUUUUCUAGGUUGCAGUCAUUAAUUUUAUUCUAUUAAUUAAAAAAAUCUUUUUAGUCACAUAACAUAAAUGAUUUUAGAAACAUAAACGAACCAUUUUAAAAGGUAUAAUUCUGUGACAUUUACUAUACAUUGUGCAAUCACCUGUCUAGUUCCAAAACGUUUUCAUCACCCCAAAAGAAAACCCCAUACCAUUGAGUAGUCAUUCCCUAUUCCCCAACAACCCCCCCACACACACACCAAAUUCUCUGUCAACCACUAAUCUGCUUUCUGUCUGUAUGCAUUUGCUUAGUCCAGAUAUUUCAUAGAAAUAGAAUCAUACGCUACGUGACCUUUUGUGAAUGGCUUCUUUAACUUAGUGCAUAAUGUUUUCAAGGUUCAUCCACCGUUGUAGCCUGUAUAAACACUUCACUUCUUUCUAUAGCUGAGUAGUAUUCCAUUGUGCAUGUGUGUAUUAUAACUCGUUUACCCAUUCAUCUGUUGAUAGACAUUUGGGCUGUCUCCAGCUUUUGGAAAGUGCUGCUGUGAAUGUUCAUGUCCAAGUAUUUGUCUGAGUACCUGUUUUCAAUUCAUCUGGGUAAAUACCUAGGAGCAGAAUUGCUGGGUCGCUUAGUAAUUUUAUAUUUUAACGUUUUGUGGUACCAACAAGCCGUUUAUUUUCUAGAAUAUCACUCAGUUUGGGUUUGCUUGAUGCUUCCUUAUGAUUAGAUUCAGAUUAUGUAUCUUUGGCAAGAAUAUCACAGAAGUAACAUAGGGUUCUUCCCACUGAGGCACAUGAUUUCAGUUUGCCCCAUUAUUACUGAGAUGCACUUUGGUCACUGGAUUAGAAUGAUGUCUGUGUGGCUUUUCAACUGCGAAGCUAAUCUUUUCCCCUUUGUAAUUGAGAAGCAUUUGCUGGGAUACUUUGAAACUCUGUAAAUGUUUGAACCUCACCAAACGUCCAACAUAUUUAUUAAUAUCUGUAUGGAUUUAUAAUUUUCUAUUUUAGUCAAUGAGUUUAAAUCUGUUACCAUAAUUAUUUAUUUUAAUGCCCAAAUUGUCCCAAAUCUGGCCAGUGGGAGUCCCAUCAAGCUGGCUCCUGUGUCCUUUUCACAUGUACUCAUCAUUUUUUGAGCACUUUCUUCUUCCUGCCACAACAAGGUGAUACAGAUUCAUUGGGCGCUUUCCUUGCCCCAGGCCUGGAAUCGCCAUCUCUCCAAGGAACUCUUGUUUUUUUCAGUGGAGAAUGGUAUUUGAAGCAGAGCUCAGGGUGUUGGGCGUGCUUAUUGCUACUGGGCUAUUUCAGCUGCUAGGCCCUCUCAAUAGAUAGAGCUAGUGAGCACGUGACUGUGUAAAUCUGUGUAUACACACACUUCACAUCUUUAUUUAUCUCUGUCUACCCGUUUUGAAAACUGUGAGUUCACACUGAUAACUACAAUCCCAGUCCAAAACAAGGUUUAUUCUAGUUUUUCUCCUUUCAAUGUUUGUCAUUCCCUUCUCAGCUUUACGACUUUAGGAAUUUGAAAAUAAAUCAUAUGGAACACCAACAAAGAUGUUCUUCAUUUUCAUUGCUCAGCACACUAAAAAAAAAUCACAAAUUUAUUAAACAAGAUACAUCUGUUUUAUGUAGCUCUCUUAUGUAAAGCUUCUUACAAAAACACCCAUGCACACAUACACAUUCACACCUGCUCAUAAACUUCAGAUUAAGAAAAAGCACAUUCUAACAGACAUUUAAGUGUUGCUUCGAUGCGGAUUUAUGAAACUGUGCUAUCCUUUACAGCCAUUUAAUUGUAAUUGAAGCAUCACUUUAAAUAAAGGAAUUUUUUUUUUUUUUUAAUAUGGGAGGAAAAAUAAUCUUUCUACGUUUUAAAACCAGAAAUAGGAUACAUAAAUAGAUUUGUCCCUUGUCAGGAGAGGUGGAGUGGCAGUCCCUCUACAAGAUGGGAAAAGUUGUGCAUUCAGCAAUCCGUGACGAGCACAUGUUGAGCCAGACAGCACUGCGCUGGAACGCCGCUUGCCUGAUGGACACCCAGAGAUGGGAUUAUUUGUGUUGGCAAAGCUUGCCUCUGUCACAAUUGAGAGAAGGCAGCUCCCGUGGAUGGAGACAGCCACUUGAGAAUGUUCAUAUCAUCUGAGCAGCCCUCUGCUGGAACAGUGUGUGGGUACCACACCGAGGGAGGUUGGGGCCUGGCCUGGUCCUCCUUUACCCUGUGCCAUCGGAUUUGCGAAGAGAGGCUGGAACAGAGGAUGAAAUCUGGAGCCAGUGCAGAAUGCAGGCUGGGAGGAGAUGCCAACAUAGUCUGAAGUGUCCACCUGACACAAGAAGCUCACUCCUCACCAGCAUCCCUCUCCAACCCAUUUUCCAGUCCAAUCCCUGUCCGAAGAGUUGGCUUUUGGAAUGGUUCCUGUCCUGGGCCAACAGAAGUUCUGGAGGCCAUGAUCACCGGGGUCCUUCUAGUCUCAGUCAGACCAUUAAGUCUGGUCUUUUUAUGAGAAUUUGGGGUCUGCAUCCCACUGAUCUCCUGCUUCCUCAGGUGUUCUCUGUUGCGUUUCCUGUCAGGGCAGUCAUCUAUUGUAGCUGGGCACCAUCUAGGUCUUCCGGUCUCAGGCUGAUGUAGUCUCUGGUUUAUGUGGCCCUUUCUGUCUCUUGGAUUGUAAUUACCUUGUGUCCUUGGUGUUCUUCAUUCUCCUUUGAUCCAGGUAGGUUGAGACCAAUUGAUGCAUCUUAGAUGGCUGCUUGCUAGCGUUUAAGACCCUAGUCCUUACACAUUUUUUAAGAUUAAGAAAAAUAAUUUAUGUAUUGUUGUUAAGUGCCGUCAAUUUUCCACUGUUGAUGACAGAGUAGAACUGCCCCACAGGAUUUUCUAGGCUGUAAUAUUUAUGGCAGCAGAUUACCAGGUCUUUUGCCAACGGAGUCUCUAGGUGGGUUCAAACCACCAGCCUUUUGGUGAGCAGCUGAGAGCUUAACCGUUGCAUCACCAGGGCUCCAUAAUGUAUGUAUACCACUUAGCAUAGUGCCUGGCACAUGGUUAUCAUAAUUACCAACAUUUACAGAGUGAGUCUUCCUUCCUAGACGCUUAACUCAUUUGAUACAUACGACAGUCCCUGUGGGGUUGGUUCUGUUAUCAGUCUCAUCUGUCAAGUUAGGAAACUGAGGAGCAGAGAGGUCACCUGCCAAGAAGUGGUGGAGCUGGAAUCUGAGCCCAGGCAGUUUGGCUCCUGAAGCUUCUAUCUUAAUCACAAAGCAAUGAUACUGUCAAUAUUACUCAGCAUUAUUACAGUAUUAUUCUGUUCUCAGUAAUAGUCCUCUCAGUUGUAGACACCUAGCGUGUGUUGGUGCUCACCUCCCCCUUUCCCUGUUAUCAAGGUAAUCUGUUUCUAUGAAUCGCUUACUUAGUUUUGGUACAGUUAUUGUUUACAAGCCAAAGAAAAACACAGAUCUCCUAUAAAUAAAUAUUGACUUAAGUGUGACAUCUGUUGUGAAGAAGAGUUGAAAAGUAACUACAUAAUCAGCAGUUCUUCUGUUUUUAAGUAUUUUCUUCAAUUCCUUUUGUCACGGGUUUCCUAUCCGAGGUAGCAGAAAUAGAGGGGUGGUGGCAUCUGAUCUCUGUAAGAAGACACUUUCCUUAAUGCAGAAUUUUCAUUUUAAUUAGCCCCAGAAUCAUACUGAUUAGUAAAAACACCAUGCUACUUGGCAAGAAAUGUUGAAUCAUUUUUUGUUAAUAAAAACCACCAAAAACAAAACUUGUUGAACACCGUCAGGGCUGUAAAGACUCAUUUUCAAGCUACUGACUGAUUUAAUGUGCUGAGGUUCAAACAUAAGACAUACAAACACGAGCUUUUCCAAUAAUUUUGCAACCAUUUGAAGAAAAUUUAGUUUUUUUCUUUUGUUCUAAUACGGGCAAGUGUAUGCUUCCUGACAGAUGUCAAAACACCAAAUUUUUACGUCCUUCGCUUUCAAAAGACAAUGAGUAUCAUGCAUUGUUUAGAGAAUAUUUGACAGGGGAGAUAGUCUAUCAUUCUCACCAUGUAUUUAGCUAAGAGAAAUUUGCUCUAGAUAUUCCACUGCGUUCUCUUAAAGAAGCCAUCAUUAAUCAAUAAAAAAAGUGGAUUUUUUUUUUCUCAAGAACGUCUCUGGUGAAAAAGCCUGUUAUAUUUACAUGAACACAGGAAUGAUUAUAAAUAAUCAUUCCUGAUUGCUAAAUUCUCUUUUUAUUUAGCUGUUUUAGCAGUAUGCUAAUGACAGGAAGAAAACAUACAUAUAAAAUAUUGUAAGCAUCAGGACUUGGUAGGAGAGAGUAAGUUUGACUUCUGACCAUGAAAUCUUAUUCUGUGGUUGCCUUCUUAAUGGCAUCUCUUGAGGUCAGUGGCUUUGAAUUCUCCCAAUUUUGUGGGGUCACUCUGGCAGCAUUGACCAAGUAGAAAAUAUUCAGCUAGCGAAAACAAUAGCAGAAGUCACCCUUUAAGUGUCCUGCCUUCUAUAUCAUGCAAUUGACUCCAAGGCUCCCCACUAAGAUGUCACUGUUUGACCAGUUUGCUUUAAAACAGCUUAAUUAGCUGAAAGGAAAGCGAUGUCUGAGCAUGUUUGUGAGAAAAAAACAAAAAGCUCUCUCCUUUCAGAAAGCUCAUGCUCUAUCUUGUCGGAAAUCUUUGGUUCUGAAACAAAACAACAUUCCUUUCAUACACAAUCAAGUCCUUGACAACAAAUUUUCCUGGAUUGGGGAGGCAACUGGCUUAGAGCUGUCUCCAUGUGGGCGUUCUGGGUCAGGUUCUACGUAUCCAGGUCCACCUUAUAUAAUCUGAAUUGCCUAUGCCAUUGCAAGAAAAAUUCAUGCUAUUAGCAUGUGAGUUUAUUUCCUCUACCCAGAAAGAUCUAAAACCGGCAUUACUGCAUUGAGACAAUAUUGAUUUUCUGAUCAAACGGUAGCAAUGUUGGAGUAACUACCUAUUCCUUUGCAUUCAUUUGCUCCUGGUUAAAAUGAUAAAUCAUCCGAAGAAACAACUCUGAUUUUAUUCUCAGGGUGAUACGGCUAGAAAACCUUUGUCCUAACACUUCAAAUAUUCCUGAUUCAGCGUGGACAUCCUUUGAAUGCCCACCACCCACUGCCUCUGGAGGUGGAGCCUGCAGUGACCAAGGAAGUAGACUUAAAAAAAAAAAAAAAAAAUUUUUUUUUUAGGCCCAUUUUAAGUUUCUAAAGUAAGCAAAUUCACUGGCUAAGAGGGAGUUGCACUUAUCCUUUUUUUUUUUUUUGGCAGGUAUUUCUGUGGCUAACCUUGUCUGAGAGACACAGGAAACCCGUGUUUUCAUUUUUUCAAGGCAAAUUGACAAGAAAUUGUUUUUGUUUUGAUGGGGCUGGUGGAAGCAGCUACAGAAAUCUUGAGUCCUUUUAAAGCAGUUCUGAGGAAUUCCUGGUGGCGUAGUGGUUAAGUGCUACAGCUACUAGCCAAAGGGUUGGCAGUUUGAAUCCACCAGGCGCUCUUUGGAAACUCUAUGGGGCAGUUCUACUCUGUCCUAUAGGGUCGCUAUGAGUCGGAAUCAACUCGACGGCACUGGGUUGGGCUAAAGUAGUUCCAAAGGCCAACCAGUGACUCAUGAGAGAAACUGGAGACCCACCUGCCCAUUGCCAAAAGCUUUGUGGGUUUAUUGCAUGUGUGUGUGUGUUUUAAGCCACAGAAGAAUAUUGCCAUAUUCCAAACAAAAUCCAACUGUAAAAAUCAAAUAAUGCCAACAAUUGGCCACUGCGGUAUGGCCUGGCUACCCAUUCAAUUUCUUCCAGAACCUCUUGUCUCCAUAGCAAUUAUCUGACAAACACAUAAAUUCCCAGUCAACUCUAGUUUAUGUUCGUAACUUUUGAAUCAUAAUGAGUACCAAAUUUCAACCAAAGCGCAUUUGGUUUUUUAUUGCUCUGAGCUCUGUAAUUUGGUGUAACUCUGUAAAUAGCAGCGGGAGUGUGUGUGUAUGUGUGUGUGUGUCUUUUGCCUAAAAACAAUGACACACUUCCUAAAGCAACAUUGGAUUUUAAAUUGGGAACCUAUCCACAUUUUUUUUUUAAUGAAGAGAAGGAUGACUAAAUCAGAAAAGAGUUUAUAAUUGGCAAUAUAAAUCUUUCACUGAUUUCAGGAGGUCACCAGAUGAACUGAUGCAGACUUCAGACCCGUCUGCUCUUUUGGCAACCACUGCCUUUUCGGAGCCUUCUCAUUGGCUCACGCUAAUCACACGCGAGGUCUCCUGGAAGCGAUUAGUGCCUCUCUGGGCUGAAACGGGCAGAGCGGGGACGACGCUGCAUUGCACAACUCCAAGCGAACGAAGGCCUGCGCAGAGCUCCGAGCUAUGUGUAACCUUUCAGAGGCCAACAGACGGACGAUGCAGGGAGAGUGCCAUGUAACUAGAGUGUGGGCAGCAAGGAACAACCUUGCAAGGCCAAGGAGCACGUUUUCCAGGCCCUGGAAAGCUGGUGGACAGUUUGCUGUGAAUUGCUGAUAUUUUCAGAAGAGGGGGUUAGUUGCCCACAAGGUGGCAACGUUAGUGCCAACUUCAGAAGGACGCCCUUUGCUAGUUAAGCUUUGGAGGUGAGGUGCUGUGCAGGAGAUGUAAACCCAAGUGAAGUCGUCUCUUUAGUACAAGUAAACAACAGGGAAGAGAGUGGGCGAAUAGUGUUGCAGUAACUGCAGGCUAUUUUGCUGUCAGGCAAGAGGCCAAAGGCCAAGUUCCUUGGACAGUUCUGGCCAUGAAUCAAAUAACAGACGUGAUACCGGCACCCAGUGCACUGUUUUAUUGAUGACUGCGAUUGUAAACUGUUGGCUUUCUUAAUGGCUGAUGGUGUGCUACAGAUUCCAGGCUGAGCUUAGACUAUCUGCAAGUUCUGAGCUGGGAACUGGAACCAUAGCAAACUUCCUCCUGUUAUUCAUAAGCUGUAAAAAAUAUUUCCAUGUUUAGUAACCCAGAGGAAUAAGACACUUAGUCUUUUUGCAUCAACACAGGCUUGGGAGGCAGAAUGUAAUCUAAGCACAAUAUUCUCGAUGUUCAUGACCAGUUUCUUGCCUUUCAUAAAAAAAUUUUAAAAAAUUACCUUUCUAUUAAAUAGGGAAGGUUUCACCUUAACUCUGAAACUCUCUUCUAGUUAGAUAGGGUCAGCAGCUUCAGGGAAUUAUGCAGAUACAAGAUGUGAGUAUAUAUACUCAACCUGAAAACACUCCCUCACAUUUGUAAAGCACUGUAAAAUUAACAACAACAACAAAAAACAAACCCGCUGCCUUUGAGUCAGUUCUGACUCUUAGAGAUACCAUGUGUUACACAGUUAGGUUUUCUUGGCUAUAAUCUUUACCGAAGCAGAUGGUCAAGUCUUUCUUCCGUGGCGCCGCUGUGUGAAUUUGAACCAACAACCUUUAGGUUGAAUUCCUCAGAUGUCCUGAGAUUCCUCAAACCUCUGACAAUGCCCAACCAUAAAGGGCAAGGGCAGAAGCAGUCUUUCCACUGAACAAGCAAAGCAGAGAAUGGACACCAAAAAUGUGGUUGCACUUAGCUGAGUGAAUGAAAGAACUCUGAGUAAGAUGGCACCAGCGGAGACUAGAAAUACAUAUUUUGAUGAUGUCCAUACAUACAAGACUCAAUAAACCAAAAGUCGAAAGCAGACAGAGAAAGGGAACUCCUAGCAUGGAAAAGAAACCACCAAAGGGACUUCCAAGGAGGAAGAAGGAGUGGAAGAUGAAUCACCUGUUAUGUCUCUUGUCUAGGGCAGAAGGGCCAUUGUUGGAGUGUCAAAUGGGCAUCUCUCUCAUCUCCCAGAUUGAUGGCAUAGUCUCAGACUUCCCACAUAGACAAGAUAAACUAAAGGCUUCUAUGGACAGAUAGUAGACACAUGUUAAUUCUUCUGAUGGGAAAGGCAAUACACAAUAUGGAGGAAUUUGGCACAACUUGACCAAGGGUCAUUAUGAGUUGGAACCAACUGGAUGGCACCUAACAACAAAAGGUCAUAAAGGAUAUUCUACAUCCUAUUUUGGUGAGUAGUGUCUGGGGUCUUCAAAGCUUAUGAGUGGCCGUCUAAUUUACAACUAUUGGUCUCUUCCCGUAUGGAGCAAAGGGGAGUGAAGGAACCCAAAGACUCAAGGAGGAAUUUAGUCUACAGGACUAAUGGCCCAUGUGAACCACAGCCUCUUCUAGCUUGACAACAGAAAAAUAAAUGGUGCCCAGUACCACUACCAACUGUUCUGACCAGGGACACAAUAGAAGGUCCUGGCUAAAAUGGGAGAAAAAUGUAGAACAAAACUCAAAUUCAUAAAAAAGACCAGACUUACUGAACUGAUAGAGACUAGAGGAACCCCCGAGACUAUUGCCCUAAGAUACCCUUUUAACUUGGAGCUGAAGCCACUCUCAGAGGUCACCUAUGAACUAAGUAAUAGAUUGGCCUAUAAAAUAAACAAUAACACCUGUGAAGAAUGUGUUCCUUUAAACUAUCAACUAUAUGAGACAAAACUGUCAACAUUUAUACAAAAACCAAGAUGAGAAGGCAAGGAAGGGCAAGGAAACUGGAGGUAUGGAAACGUGGUAGGAGGGGUGGAAAUGAUGAGAGCGCUGACACUUUACGGGGAUUGUAACCACUGUCACAGAACAAUCUGUUUAUGAAUUGUUGAAUGGGAAUCUAAUUUGCUGUAUAAGUUUUCCUCUAAAACACAAUAAAAUAUUUAAAAAAGAGUACAUGAGUGGGCAUUUGUCUUCUCUUUUUCUUCCGUAAGCUCAAACUACGAUGAGAAUUAUAUAAUAAAUGGAAGAAAAAAUACAUUGGUUUAUAGUCAAUUCAGAUCCAUUCAGUUAGUAUAAAUAAUGGCUAAAAAGUGGUGAGAAAGCCAUCUGUCACUUUAAGACAAACACACAGUUACUUUUAAGAAAAGAAGUUCAAGAAGAGUUAAUUUAUCCCAAGGCUCUUAAGCUUGGAAUGCAUUUGAGAAAAGUGGCUGAGCUAUUCUCACCCAGAGGAUAAAUUAUGCUGUCAUGAAUCCAGGUUUUUGUUUUGCUUUUUUUUUUAAAAAAAAAAAAUUAUACAGGAUCAUUCCGUUUAGGGCUUAUACUCUUGUGAUUCCCCUGGUUCCACCAGGAUAUUUGAACAAGUAUCAUUUUGAACGAAGCAGCAUAUGGCCAGGUACUUUAUUGGUAUUGCGUGCCUGUGUAUAUAUGUGUUUGCGCUAUAAAAUACACACAUGCACGCACACUAACGCACACGCGCACACGCACACCUUUUUUUGGUUCUAAAACCUAAACCCUCUUUGUAAAUGAAGUGAGCCUAGAGAAUUGGAAACACAACAGCCGCAAAAGGCCGGAGCUCGCAGCAACUGCUUCAAGCUGCAUAUGACAUAAAACUGGAUUAUAAUGUCAUCCGCUAACUGACAGAUCAUUUAGUGUCUUGGAAGAGUCUGUUUUCACACUGUGGAAGCUCUCACAGGGGAAUUCCGUGUGGGCUUCUUAUUGUCAGAGCUAUUUUUCACCCAAUUUGUUUCCAAAUGAUGUCUAACCUGAGGUCUUCCCACUGAGAGAGGUUUAAGCCAUGAUUAAUGAGGAGUGUUUGGCCAGGCCCACCUGGGAAAUGGCCCAUCUGCAAACUCAGGUAAGACUGGGAGGCCUACAAGGCAUCAGCUUGUGAACGGUAGGCAGCUUCCCAUGGCUCCAGGCAAUCUCACAGCGGAUGCAAGGUGUUCGGCGUUACCCGCAUAAAGUUUCAGGAGGCGCUGGGGAGAAGUGUCACAUUUGCUGUUUUUUUACCCUGAGAUGUUCAUGCGGGAAGUGCUCUCUGUCUUGACGUUAAAAGAAAAAAUUCCUGUUCCUCAAAUGUAUUUAUGCUCUUCAAAGCUUUCACAGAUAUGUAUGGCAAUAUAACCAAAUAGACCCGUACACAGAGAUACGGCUUUGUCUCAAAGGAUGAAAUUAUUGAGCAAGCAUGAGAUAAUUUUAUAAUACUGUGGCCUAAUUGGACGUGGUACGUGAAUGUAUACUGAUCUUUCUCUCUCUCUCUCUCUUUUUUUUACAUCAUGUACUUAAAACACACUGUUCUUUGUUGUAUUCAAAUGUAAUGAGAAUUAUUAUACAUAAUGUAUAUUUUUUAAAGAAAUCCUCUUCUCUGUAAAAUAAAUACUGAAGGGUAUUUUUUUUUUUAACCUGUAAAAUGUUGCCUGAUUUGGAAUCUUUGAAAGAGAUAUCCUUUCACUAAAGGUCAAAAAAAUUUUUUAAAAAUAUGCAGAAAUCUAAAAUUAUAUCAGCACAAAUUGGAUAAAGAGCUCCAGACUCUUUUAAAAUACCUACCUGAAAAAAAUGAGGAAAUAAGUGGAACAUAGCCAUUCUUAAUAACCCAGCCCAUUCCUUCUCUUAUUUAACAUGCACAUUCUAGGCUUUCUCUCUCGAGGUUGUCAUUAAAUAUGACAUCCCACAAUUCCGUCUGUCAGGACUAAAACCUAACAGACCCAACUGUCUCCACACAAAACAGAUUGUUUGCUGGGAACAUUUAUGACCCAUAAAGAGUGAGAGUUUAUCCUGGCAAAACAUCCCUUCUUGUAAACAACCAACAUUCCCUGAAUUUCACCAGUUGACUUUGCAUCCAUAUAUUUCUCACUUGGCACUUGGCUUCAUCCAAAGCUUCUUUGAUGGCAUUUUGUACCCAACUGUUGUGUAAAAGACACUUUCCAUCAAGUU